GCGGGCGUGGCGGAAUUGGUAGACGCGCUGGAUUCAAAAUCCAGUUCCUCUGGAGUGUCGGUUCGAGUCCGACCGCCCGUACCA
rnacentral:tRNA from 2 species